UGCACCGCACCAUCAUCAUCCGGCCAAGUCAAGUCGUCCGACAGCAGCAGCGGGAACGAUCGUCAUCGGUGCUAGCCACCGUCACUCCUGUCUACCGCGUCUGCACCAUCACCUCCAUAGAAAUCGCUGGAAAAUCCAAUUACAUUCGGACUUUGAAUCGGCACAUGGUGUUCGAUUCAAUAGUGCGUCCAUAAAUUCCGUCACCAUUUCGUCGACAGUGGUGAAACGAAGGCCAGCGCCGCAAAUCACGGUAGCGAGCGCCCCACAAGUCCUAUCGCCGAAGCGACUGUGCACGACUCCGCUGGCCGGUGGAGCGACGAUUCCGGCCUUAGGUACCUGUCUGGUUUCCGCCCAUCCACCGGCUUCGGCUGCCGCCGCCGCAGCCGCCGCAGCACUGUUGCAGCAUCAUCAAGCCCAGGCGGCCCAGCAUCAUCAGUUUCAGCAGCAACAGCAACAACAACAGCAGCAACAGGCUCGGCUUCAGAACCAACAUCACCAACAGCUGCUAGAGUCGACCGGCGGCACCGGAGUUCCUACUUCCGUGCAUCAGCAGCAGCUAGUGUCCGUUCCGCUAGCAAUCAGCACCAAUAGUUCACAACCAAUGUUUACAUCACCGAUCGUUGCCCAGUCUAAUCCGGCUGUCAGUACACAGUCCAUCAACGGAUCAUUGAACGUGAACGCGGCCAACAAUAACCACAACCUCGGACAGACGCAGAACAGUCUCGGCAGUGCGGCGAAAAUGGACAACUCGAUGGGACAGAUGACACCGAUGGCCCCGCUAGCCCUCUCGCAGAGCAUGGAUUCGGUCAACACAGCCAGCAAUGAAGAAGAGGUUCGCACCCUGUUCGUCAGUGGGUUACCAAUGGACGCCAAACCCCGGGAGCUGUACCUACUGUUCAGAGCCUACGAAGGCUACGAGGGAUCACUGCUAAAGGUUACCAGCAAAAAUGGCAAGACAGCAUCGCCGGUGGGCUUUGUCACGUUCAGCACACGUUCCGGAGCAGAGGCGGCCAAGCAGGAUCUGCAGCAAGGUGUACGCUUCGAUCCUGAUAUGCCCCAAACAAUACGCUUGGAAUUCGCCAAGAGUAACACUAAAGUGAGCAAACCAAAACCACAACCUAAUACAGCGGCCACAGCUGCACAUCCUGCAUUGAUGCACCCACUUACUGCUGGACACUUAGGUACUCCGUUUUUUCCUGGGAGCCACGAGCUAUGGCAUCAUCCGUUAGCGUUCUCGGCAGCCGCUGCUGAACUGCCCAGUGCUGCGGCCCUGCAGCAUGCGACACUCGUCCAUCCGGCACUGCAUCCUCAGGUCCCGGUACGCUCCUACCUCUGACUAAAUACGGACAAAGUUCUCGAGCAGCAGCCAAUGCACCAACAACAAAUUCAAAUGCCACAUCCGACAGCAAUACACCCAGCAUCGAUGCAUGUUUCGGCCGGAUUACCAGCGAACCAUUUUUUACCAAGUCCGGCCUUGGCCAGUCCGGUCGGCAGCACCGGUGGCAGUCAGCCGCCUAAUCCGCCGCUAGCCGCCAAUGCUCCCUGUUCAACGCUGUUCGUUGCUAACCUGGGCCAGUUUGUGUCCGAACAUGAGCUCAAAGAAAUAUUUGCGAGGGGAGCGGGUUUGGAGCCAAGAAUGGAACACCAUUUGGGGAAGAAGAGUGAACGAACCGAUCUCAACACCUACUUGAUGGCUACAACUUGACCCCAUCAGCAACAGCAGCAACAAUAUCAGCAACAGAACCAUCACCAACCAACAACAGCAACUGUUAUCGACAACUCCUACAUCAACGGAACUAACGGAAACGGACUAGGAUUCGACUUUGGGAAUGGCAUAUCAACCGGACGUUUCAGUAGCGUCAACAACAACAACAGCAAUGGUCUCUACGCGAUUGCCGUCCCGCAGCCCAGAGCGUGAACAGAGCACGAUGUCGUCUUUCUGAAAGAAAAUUGAACAUACUGUGUAAAAAUGAUGCUGUGAAGUAUUCACAUGCCGUUUGUUUUAUCAAUUCAUCCUAGAGGAAACGAAAUCAUUUAGUUGAUGUGUAAAUGUGAUAAAUGAAGACCAUGUUUGGCCCCCCAAUUGAACCAUAAUGUGCCCUAGAACGAUUUUUAUACGAAAGCUAUGUUGAACUUUUUCAAUUUCCUUCUUGGUUACACCUGUUAUCAGCCUAUUGCUUUUUCGUUGAACCGUACUUACGACAAAUAUACAAUUCGAGUAGUGGAACGAUGGUAAAGCUCCCUUUGGAAAGGCAAGCACAAACGUGCAACACACACAAAAAUAAUACAUGUGAUUAGGGUUUCAAAGUGUUUCAGUUAUUUUUAACGAAACCAAGGAAGAGAAAAACAAACAAACGGUAGUUCUUAGGAAAAAAACGGCGAACAAGCAAUAACAAACUAAACACACUGUAAAUGAAAAUAUCCAUGCAUAUCAAAGAUUUUUUUUAAAAUCAACAAAGAUGGGAACGAUAGUUUGUAAAACUGCAUACAUAGUUUCUUAAGGACGCAUACUGUAGGAAGUAACUGCUAGGCAAUAUUAAGGGCAUGCUAAAACCCAAGAUCCGUUUCCGACAGACCAGAUUUGGUAGGAGAUUUUUCUGUUGAUAUCUAUCGAGCAACAAGCGGCAUUAUUAUCAUCCUGCAGUCAGAGAAAUGGUAACAGACAGGUAGGAUAGGCAGGUGUCAAACAUACUGACUUGUAAUAGUGGUUACAUAACAUGUUUCAGACAAAAUUAUUGCUCUUCAUCAAAAGUAAACUUUAUCCAAAAAGAAUUCAAAGCUAAAUUUAACGUUAUCAUCAACCUAAGCUAUUUUAGUGUAGUAAGUAUAUCAUCACAUGAACUUGGGGAAAGUUUGGCAGGUGACGGGGAGCCAUUAGAUGCAAGUUGGAAUCUGUCGAAGAAGCAAGAUCUGAAGUCAACAAAAACGCGAAGUUACCGUCAAUUACAUAUUAUAGGACACCAAAGAGGCGCAUCAGUUCCUAUCAGCUGCCGAGCGGCAGAAGGAAUCGAGCAGCCGAUCAUGUUGAAAUCACGAAAUUAUGCAACAUAGAAGCUAUGAGUACCAAAGUAUGCUUGCGUUCCAACAGAGUCCCAAACGACAUCACAACUUAUCUGGAUGGCUGGCUUAUUUCUUUCUGUCAAAUUUGCCACCAAGUUCAGUAAAGAAGCAUCAUUUGUAUAGAAAUAUCUCUUUAAACUAAAGGACAAAGUACCGAAUAGUCGGUCUUAACAUAGCAAUAAGUAGUGAAACUUUUUUCGGUGUUUGAUUCAGUGAGUGAAUUAGCUUCUGAAAGGAAAACAAACUCUAGGCAAAAUUUCCAAAACCAGAUGAGAGGCAGGCAACUGAUUGUUCAGACAGCAAACUGACUAACAUGUGGUAUGUGGAUUAUUAUCAUACAACCUUUAUCAGCGCAUUGCUUGCGAAUAGUUUUUAUGGUAAUAAUUUGGAUAACAUGUUAGGUAUAUACAGUGUGUAAUCUUAGCAAAGACCCGUGCGGCAUAGGUUAGUGCACAUCACAGAUAACAACUUCAUUCAAACAGGCAGUUCAAUGUUGGAACAAUUCGAUCCUAAAAUAUAAGGAACUGAGGUGAGUCAAUGUGCAUUAAUCUAUUUCGUCUAGCAGUGCUGCCAGACAAUUGGACAUAAGACAAGCUAUGAGAAAGUUAAACUAAGAAGGGAAAAUCAACAUUUCCAACAAUACGGUCAGCUAGGAAAGCAUGAAAACGAAGGAAAAAGGUAAAGGCACAAGAAGUGAAUAAUCAUUCCGUCCAAUACAGUGUGUAGUUAAAUCGGGUAAGUACGGAUCUGUUUUCAAGAUGACAAUCUGUAUCUUGAUCCGGCCCCCAAAGGUCAGUGUUCUAGGGUCUCGAAGCGGUUUCCGGCUCUGUAGUUUGUAAGUCGAGCAACACCCGGAUGAACUGGCAGAGCAUUCCUGGAGCACGCUUUUGCGCGGGAGCUUAAUGAAUACAUAUCAGCUUUGGGUUAAACAUUACAAUGUAAGGAAAGUGACAUAGCUUAGGAAACAAACAGUAGCAUGUAAGUUAACUUUAUCGUCUAGCUGCUCUAGGGGCAUCCAGCAAGCAACUUUUAUCAUCUCUGGCAAACAAACAUACAAAAAAAUGAGAAAAAUAUUCAAAAAAGUGAAUCUUUUGUUGGCACUGGAUUUUUCUCAACAUUUUAAUUAAAAUCUAGGGCUAUACACACUACUAAAUUCAAAAAUAGGGUAUGUAGCUUGAAUGAAUGUAAUUGUAAUAAAAUAUGUGAUAAAGAUUUAGCAAAACAAUGUUAGGCUGCGUAUUGCUGCCAGGAAAAACAACUGGCUUAAAAAAUCAAACUAGCCGAGCCUUGUGCUCACAAGGUUGGUGGUUUGUCCCAAAAAAAAUAUCAUAAUAUAUCAAAGAGCAGACAAGGCCGAUUUUAUCAACACUUGCAUACAAAUAGACACAUUCUUUCACUUGUUUAUAUGUACACCACGCAAUGAGUGUAGUUGUAACUUUUAGUAACCGAAAGAUAUCGUUUCAUACGACCUAGGAGUGUUGACAUAAAUAUCAUAUUAACGGAAUAAUUUUAAGCAUCCCCAUACAGGAGAGUUUUUUCGAGCGAUCUUUUUGAGAAUUUAGUAAAAACCAGAUUACUAAUCAAACUUAAAAUGCCUUCUAGCUUUAUUUGAACUACUUGUUGACUAUAUGCCGUCUUUGUAAAGCUAAGUUGUAUCUGUCCGGUUCUUGGGUUCGAUUUAUUAGUUCUGUAACGAAGAAUGAAAACGAAUGAAGUGGUUCAUGCUAACUAGACUAAAUGAACAAAGUAAACAAAUUAUUCUAUGAACAAAAAGUGUUACGAUAAAUCAACAAUUCAAACAUAUCAAUUUCGUGCCCGAUAAUAUUGAAGAGAAAUUUAUUGAAGAAAUGUAAGCAUAUAUUAAAUUGUAGCUGACGAGAAAUAUAAUAUAUUACCUAUACAUUUACGACUACAUUGAGCAAAAUGAAAGUAUCAUUAAACUAUUAAAAAAUACGCUGAAAAUGUCAACAUAUGAAACCAGCAACUAAUAUUGAUGUAUCUGUUCGAACAAUAUGAUAGGAUCUACCAAUAACAAACGAUUUAGAAGGAAAAUUCGUACUACCCUUCGUAUAUUUUCAUUUUUUCUACUAGAGUCGUCAAACUGAGAGUGUCUCUUUCCUAUCUUCAUUGCAUCCAACAUUUCUCGUACUCUCUAUUUUUUAUGAGUGCUCAAAGUUGACGCAAUCCGUGUCUUGUAACUGAAGGAGAAAACACUGGUAUAUUUCGCAUAUUAGUUAUUUUCUUUUCCUAGAUUUUUUUCAGGUUUAAAAAGUAUCAGGCAUGGAAAGUGUUGCUAGUAAUCUUGUAGCUAAUACAAUUUGGUUGCAUUAACCGCUCACAGAGCCAGUACCGGUUCUAGCAAUAUGUAUUUUUUCUGAUUAAAAUUUAAAAAAGUUGAAUAAUUUCAUAGAACAGAACGCCAUUAGCGAUUUUAUUUCUUAUAAAGCUAUUUGUAUUAGUGCUUCAAGUUACGAUUAAAAUUUUAUUCAAUUUCUCCAAGUCACAAUUUAAAAACUACUAUUACAAGAUAUUUCGCAACAGCUAAUUGAACUCCCAAAUUAUUUUCUCAGUGAAUGGUGUUUGGUCUGAAGAACAGUGCUUGGCCGAUAUUGAACGAAUGGGACAAAACAGCUUAAAUGACGAAGCUAGUCUAUUCAAACGGACGAAAACUUUGUCAACUUUUUGCACUUGUGAAAUGCAAACUAUUAUCACACAUACACACCCACAUACACUUACUAGAAAUGUCACAAAAAUUCCAAACAAUGAGCUUCAAUUAAUUGAUACUAAAAUUCGUGCUUUUGACAAUCAAAGCAACCAUCUUUUACUCGCUUCCCAGAUAAAGAAACACGGUGCUCUCACUGCUUUUUUCAAGCAUUGAGCGUAAUUUGUAAGUUUUACGGAGGUUUAUCAUUUAGGAAAUGAGAAAUAAAUGGAGAGAAAUCAGAGAGAAUGAUGUGAAUGUGACACUCUAUGCUUCGAUUCUAGUUCGAAUAGCUUUUACUAGAUUCCUUACUACUUCAACUCUGCUAUCGAAUUUAAUGAAGAUAAAAAAUUAACCAAAGAUAUGUGUUUUUUAUUUUUCUUUUAAAUUAUUUAUUUAUUCUACAACCAAUGCUUAUUUAUUUUUACGCUUUUGGUAAAUCACUUUCCUUAGCAGUAACAAAGAAUGAGUAUAUUUUUUUGAAGUUAUGAACCAAAAUAUAUUAAAAAUAAUAAACAUUACAGUGAAAAUAUUUAGAUAUAGCAUAUGUAGUACAAUGGAAUGUAAAAUCUAGACAAACAUAGAACAUGUUAAAUGAUCAACUGGAAGUAAUGUCAAGCUAUUUGAACAAUUUUUCAAUAAACGUAUGAUUUGGAACGAAAAGCAAAGAUGAUUGAACGAAUCUGCGUUGACAUCAGUUUCUUAAAACAUCAAAAAAUCUUAGGCUAAAACAAAUAAGUGAAGGAAACUGACUUCAACUUGCCACCUAUUUUCGAAUACCCAUUCCUUACUGGCUCCGGCUCAGUAUGAGAGAUAACUGAUAAAACGAAGCCUGCAAGCUAACCAAACAGCAAAUACAAGCAAUUAAUCUACGCUAUCUCACUUGUUUUGUUUGUACACGUAACAGAUUCGAUAUAACUUACAAGAAAACAUUAAGAAAAGUCGUGCAUCAUCGCAAACAAAAACAUUGAACAAAUACCUUACUAUGAAAAACUGUUAUCGAUUUAUAAAAGAGCAAAGAAAAAGAACGUGGAAACACAACAAAAGAAGACAAUUCUACCAAAAACGCCUUCAGCGAUAUCUACAAACUCGUAGCUGAGACUUUUAACCUAGUCAAAAUAUUAUUUUUAUAAACUAAAAACGGUACAAUAAAACCCCUAAUAUUUCGACGGUCUCCCGCUGUGGCGGGCCUUCGACCUGAAGCAAUUUUGAGCACAGUUUUCAUCGCUUCUCAGCUUUCAGUUUUCGACUGGUUUCUCCAAAUGCUAGCGAAACUAAAUUUUCACAUUUUCUAUCACGCAACGCAUUCGAUCCCCUGAGAACGAUCACACUUAUCAUCCUGGCAACACUUCUUUUUUCGUCUCCCACACUCUAAACUCGCGCGCGCGUGCACGCACACCACCGCACCAGAGCACGGCUCUGCUGGACGUCACACCACCACACGUACAGCACAUGCACGCCACACAACAAUCAACGUCACGAUUCCCGACGAAAGCGAGUUGAAACAAUAAACAAACUACAGAAUUGAUCGUUUUUGUUUUCUUGUGAUUAUCGAAUAUGCACACAAACAUUCACACACGCAAAGUGAGCACACACACAACUACACAAACACACUCGAUCACGGAAGUAUGAAAAAAAUAUAUGCACAGAAUUAGUAGCGAGGUGAUGGAAUCGGCUCAGUUGACAGCAACUGCACAUCCGCACUCCACACUAAAGUUUUUCUUUUUAUUUUGUAAUUUUAAUGGUGCACAAUGUUCUUCAUUAGUUUUUUCCUCAAACUUUCAACCACUUGACACUGAUUUUUGUACUUCUUUAUGUUCGUUUUUGUUUUCUCGUUUUGUUUAUCCACUUUCAAUUGAAUAAGAUACAUUCUUGUUGUAUAUUGAAAUGAUUUCGAUAAUAAUUUUAAUUGUACGAUAUAUGAACAAGAGGAAAUUUUUGACAAAUAUUUUUAUCUAUUCUUAAAAAGUGAUAAAAUAUAUUGAAAAAAGAAGGAAAGGAAAUAAUAUUGAAACUUUUUAUGGAAGUCUUAUAUAUAAUUGUAAUAGAACCUAGAGAAAAACAAAAGAGGUUAAGUAUCAGAAGAAGAAGCAAGUAAUAAAUUAAAUUAAUGUUUAUCAUAUAAGCGGACAAACAGCAAAGAACGCGCUGAAGAGAAUCUCAUAAAAAAUCUGAACGCCCAGAGCGAAAGAGAAUCUUUCAAGAUGAAUGUGAUUAAUGUUUUUCCUUUUAAGCUAGAAUUCGUUCCAAAGAUUUUUCCCUUUACGUUUAGAAUUUUAAACUACACGUUUUCUCUUGAUUUUGAUAUAAGUUAUAUGACGUUCUAACGUGUACUGCCCCAUAAUCGGUGCGUGGACUGAGAAAAAUGGUUUCAAAAUGAGAAAUUAUCUUUGAUCUCUCUUCACUGACUAAAACUUGUUUGUAUACCGACUGAAAUAAAAGUCUUUUACCUCUAUGAGAGGUUUCCUUAGCACCAUUAACUGCGUUGCUCUCAAAUACGCAAUUCUCAUCCAACGCUGCCCAUUUCUGGCAACACUGGAACGUCACAUCACUUGAUUAUUGUGCACUGUUAUAAUUUUAAUAGAAGAAAUCCUCUAAUCGAAACAACUGUUCUGAAUUGUUAGCUUUCAGUUGAUGAUUUUCUCUCACUGUCUGUACACAAAAUAAAUGAUUUUAACUCAGAUAUUUGUUUCCUGAGCACAUACUUCUAUUUCAUUAUGUCAAACAAAAUAUUUUUUGAUCAUCUAUUGAUAAUGUCAAAAGCAGUAAUUUUAGAUUUUUGUCAAAUUUCUGUUCACAGUCCUUUUCUUUUUACUGUUCUUUUCUAAGAAGACAUACAAUUCAGAACAGGAAUGGCCUUAAAUACAAUUUUUAAAGAAGAAAUAUAAGAAUAACAAUUAAUGAAACAUAAAGAAAACAAGGAUAUUUAAAUUGAUUUUUAAAGUUUUUAACAAGAAAAAACGAGAAGAAAAUUCAAUUAAAAUACAUGAACAUGAAAUAAUACUUCGAAACAUAAAAUACCAAAUGAUACACAAAAGAGAAUCACUCAACUACAAACAGCAACAUCAACAAGAAAUACCAUACCAGUCUACGAAUACAGAUCAUCGCAUACAAUGUAACAGUUUACAAUUACCAGACAGGCAAAACCUAAUAGAACAAUGAAUUAGACAAUGUUGUAUUCGAACAAUUUAAAAUCCCCAUUAUCCCAGACCUCAAUGCUUAAUUUUCAAAAAAAAAAACGAUGUGAAAUGUUUAAGAUAUACAUAUGCUAAAAUUUGAAAGCAACAUCCAUUCCAGCUUCAGUGAGCAGAUUCACACACUGCAGCGUGUGACAUCCGUGAUAUAGAGCAGAUAAAAAGCUAAAAACUCAGCUGUAUUAUUAGAACAAACCGAAAAUGGGAUGAUCGAAAGACACACAACCAAAAACAAGCAAACCAAUCGAAACAUCUUGAAAUGUAUGGACUACCUGAAUCACACGACACAAAACAAAAACAUCAGAGUCAACAGAGUCAGUCAACGGCGAGCAUUCUCACUACUACAAAACCGCAUUUGCGCCCUUAUGUGAGUAUGUGUGAGUAAGUAAGCAAUGUGGCUGGCCGCUGGGUCUUUGGCGCUGAAAAUCAAUACGCAAGACACGAAAGAAAUGAAUAACAGAAAACAAAAUGAAGAUACACUGUACUAACUAUCAAAUGCUAGAUAUAAUUAACAUUGUAUAGGGUCCAAAGGUGGGGAAAAGUAAUGAAUUAAAUUACAAGUAAAUAAAGUAUGUAAUAACAACA